UACGUAGGUGGCAAGCGUUGUCCGGAUUUAUUGGGCGUAAAGCGCGCGCAGGCGGCUAUGUAAGUCUGAUGUUAAAGCCCGAGGCUCAACCUCGGUCCGCAUUGGAAACUGUGUAGCUUGAGUGCAGAAGAGGAAAGCGGUAUUCCACGUGUAGCGGUGAAAUGCGUAGAGAUGUGGAGGAACACCAGUGGCGAAGGCGGCUUUCUGGUCUGUAACUGACGCUGAGGCGCGAAAGCGUGGGGAGCGAACAGG
rnacentral:rRNA from 1 species